AUGGGGGCCGUCCCCUCCCUUCGCCUCCGAACAAGCUCCCUCUCAUCGGCCACCUGCACCUGGUCGGCCCCGACCCGCACGUCUCCCUCGCCAUCCUCGCCGCCAAGCACGGCGACGGCGGCCUCAUGCUCCUCCGCCUCGGCCAGACGCGCGCCCUCGUCGUCUCCUCCCCGCGCGCCGCCGAGGCGGUCCUGCGCACGCAGGACCUACGUCUUCGCCUCGCGGCCUCCGAACGCGCUCGUCGACGCCCUCCUGGACGGCGGCGCCGACGUCGCCUUCGCCCCCUACGGCGAGUUCUGGCGGCAGGCCAGGAGGCUGGUCACCACGCACCUGCUCAGCGCCAGGAAGCUGCACUCGCUCCGCCGCGGCCGCGAGGGGGAGGCGCGCCUGGUGAUGGCCAAGAUCCAGGGCGCGGCGGCCGCCGGCGCCCCCGUGGACAUGACGAGGCUGCUCGGCAGCUUCACCAACGACAUAGCGUGCCGCGCCGUGUCCGGGAAGUUCUUCCGGGAGGAAGGCCGGAACGAGCUGUUCAGGGAGGCGAUCGACGGGAACGUGGCCGCGUUUGGCGGGUUCAGCCUGCUGGACUACUUCCCGGGCCUGGCCAAGGUGGGCGUGCUCACGCGAGUGGUUUUCGCCAAGAACAGUCAGUUGAAGAGGAAAUGGGACGAGCUGCUCGACAAGAUCAUCGACGACCAUGUCAGCAAAGCAUCGGCACAGGAGCAACACCACAAGCACGAUCAGCAAGAAGAUCAAGAGACAGACUUCGUCGAUGUGCUCCUCAGUCUUCAGGAGGAGUACAGUCUCACCAGACAGCAUAUCAAGGCCAUACUGAUGGACAUGUUUGUGGCAGGCACAGAUACGUCAUACAUAGUUCUUGAGUGCGCCAUGGCUGAGCUCAUGCGAAAGCCGAACCUCAUGGCCAAACUUCAAGCUGAGGUGAGGGAAAAGACACCCAAGGGCCAACAAAUGGUGACCGAGGACGACUUGGCCAGCAUGGCCUACCUAAAGGCCACCGUGAAGGAAACGCUCCGGCUACACCCACCGCUGCCGCUCCUCCUCCCGCACCUCUCCAUGACCGAAUGCGACAUCGACGGCUAUAAAGUCCCCGCCAGAACCCGUGUCAUCGUAAACGCUUGGGCUCUUGGUAGAGACCCUGGAUCGUGGGAGGCUGCCGACAAGUUCAUGCCGGAGAGGUUUGUGGACGUCGUGUCCCCCGACUUCAAAGGGAGGGAUUUUCAGUUUCUGCCGUUUGGAGCUGGCCGAAGGAUAUGUCCCGGGAUAAAUUUUGGGAUGGCGUCUGUGGAGAUCAUGCUUGCCAACCUUGUCUAUUGUUAUGAUUGGGAGCUCCCGGACGGCAUGCGGCAAGAGGACCUGGAUAUGACUGAUGUGUUUGGCAUGACGAUGCGUCGGAAGGAUAAGUUAUUUCUUGUCCCGAGAACACGAGAUGUUAAUCAUGCAUAA
rnacentral:rRNA from 1 species